GAUGAACGCUGGCGGCGUGCCUAAUACAUGCAAGUCGAGCGAACAGAUGAGGAGCUUGCUCCUCUGACGUUAGCGGCGGACGGGUGAGUAACACGUGGAUAACCUACCUAUAAGACUGGGAUAACUUCGGGAAACCGGAGCUAAUACCGGAUAAUAUAUUGAACCGCAUGGUUCAAUAGUGAAAGACGGUUUUGCUGUCACUUAUAGAUGGAUCCGCGCCGCAUUAGCUAGUUGGUAAGGUAACGGCUUACCAAGGCAACCAUGCGUAGCCGACCUGAGAGGGUGAUCGGCCACACUGGAACUGAGACACGGUCCAGAGGCCUACGGGAGGCAGCAGUAGGGAAUCUGCCGCAAUGGGCGAAAGCCUGACGGAGCAACGCCGCGUGAGUGAUGAAGAUCUUCGGAUCGUAAAACUCUGUUAUUAGGGAAGAACAAAUGUGUAAGUAACGAUGCACGUCUUGACGGUACCUAAUCAGAAAGCCACGGCUAACUACGUG
rnacentral:rRNA from 1 species